UACGAAGGGGGCGAGCGUUGUUCGGAAUUACUGGGGCGUAAAAGGGCGCGCAGGCGGCUUCUGAAAGUCAGAUGUGAAAGACCCCGGGCUUAACCUGGGAACUGCAUUUGAUACUCUAGAGGCUUGAGUACGGGAGAGGAGGAGUGGAAUUCCCAGUGUAGAGGUGGAAAUUCGUAGAUAUUGGGAAGAACACCGGUGGCGAAGGCGGCUAGCUCGUGGACCGUAACGUGACGCUGAGGCGCGAAAGCGUGGGGAGCAAACAGGG
rnacentral:rRNA from 1 species